GGAUGUCUGUAAUAUAGAUGUUACUUAAGAUUGUGUCGCCAUGUCCUGUCGCUUCAUCAUUUGAGCGAAGCGGUUCAAACUUGGUUCAUCAAAUAGUGUAGUGAAUAUUUUAACUAAAUAAUUACAUAACAAUUUGUAACUAGAGAAAUUCUUUUAAAACUAAAUGAAUAAACAGUGAAAUUUGGCUAUUUUCAGUGAAAACCCGACGAAUUCAAGCGACAGUGUCAUCCGAUAAAAAAAAAUUUUUUCGACGUCAUGUUUGUACUAUUAAUUCCAGAUAUAACGUCCGGAAGAUCUCUUCCAAUUGGUGCCAGUGACUAAAAAGUUGCGGAAUAAAACGUUAGCUUGGUUUGGACCUGUAAUGCUGAUGUCAAGGGGUUAAGUGGUUGGUGGUGACCUAUGUUUGCGUAUACGAGACUUGGUCGCUAACUAUGGACCUCAGAAGGCUGAGUGUCACACAGCGGGCGAUGGAGCUACGUUCUGAGUAUCCUGCGUGAUCAAAACAGAAAUGAGUAGAUCCGCAGAAGAACCAAAGUCACUGACAUAGCUCAACGAGUCACAAAGCUGAAGUGAUGGCAUUCUGUGGUAGUGGUUCACUUCCCUUUAGGUGGACCAAAGACAUCAAGCAUCAACUUCAAAACAAUAUGUCUAUGUCCAACAGUGGACGUCCAUCGGCUGAUAAUGAUGAUGGUAUAAGAGGAUUUUUAUUGUCUGGGUGACGUCGCUUGAUUCGUCUAUUUUACACGGAAAAUAUAAUUAACCCAAUCUGUACAAAUUUCUACAAAGCAACGGUUACUUUUAUUCAGUACCCAAACAAAUAAAUAUAAUAAAACAUAAGUAUUAAUUUCCUUAAUUACAAUUUUACUAAUAGUUUCUUAAACUGACGUGGAAAGCAGAAUAAACUAUGAAGUGUUGUGAUUUUCAAAAACUGAAAUGUCCAGUCGUGACGAAGUGCUGCUAUUGUGUGCCCAUUAGGAAGGGUGUCAUUAUAUUUGGAUAUGUUAAUUUGGUCCUCUCUCUCCUCUCGGUUCCCUUCCUCCUGUUCCUGGUAGUGGAUGGAGCCACGAGUGUGAGGGGGCCGGACGAUGAGCAGCGACCAGUACACGCGUUGCACAUCCCGCUGACUAUCGCCUUCGUCGUGGCUGACGUCAUCAUAACUAUCAUCCUUCUUGUUGGAGCUCAUAAGAAAAAACGUGUCCUGCUACAAAUAUAUUUCUAUUUCGGCACGCUGUUCCAAGUCGUGACCCUGUGCGUUGACCUCAUAUUCUUCGACUUCAGAGAAUAUAUGGAGAACAUUGUAUACUUCGUCUUCUUCAGUUUAAACAUCUACCUAUUGUUUCUGGUGUACAAUGCGAUGGAAGUGCUCCGCGAGGCUCGCAACGUGCAGUACGUCACUUACCGCGAGCGCUAGCACUACUACCUCCCGCUUCUCGCUUUACAGAUAAAAUAUGCAGUCACGUCGAGAUCCCCAUACUAACAAGAUGCUGCUUCUGCUUGCCCUUGAGAAAGGGCCUCAUCGCCUUCGCUUACGUCAAUUUAGUGCUAACAGUGGUGGUGACAUGUCUCCUGUCGAUGUACA